GACGAACGCUGGCGGCGUGCUUAACACAUGCAAGUCGAACGGAAAGGCCCUGCUUUUGUGGGGUGCUCGAGUGGCGAACGGGUGAGUAACACGUGAGUAACCUGCCCUUGACUUUGGGAUAACUUCAGGAAACUGGGGCUAAUACCGGAUAGGAGCUCCUGCUGCAUGGUGGGGGUUGGAAAGUUUCGGCGGCUGGGGAUGGACUCGCGGCUUAUCAGCUUGUUGGUGGGGUAGUGGCUUACCAAGGCUUUGACGGGUAGCCGGCCUGAGAGGGUGACCGGCCACAUUGGGACUGAGAUACGGCCCAGACUCCUACGGGAGGCAGCAGUGGGGAAUAUUGCACAAUGGGCGGAAGCCUGAUGCAGCAACGCCGCGUGCGGGAUGACGGCCUUCGGGUUGUAAACCGCUUUCGCCUGUGACGAAGCGUGAGUGACGGUAAUGGGUAAAGAAGCACCGGCUAACUACGUGCCAGCAGCCGCGGUGAUACGUAGGGUGCGAGCGUUGUCCGGAUUUAUUGGGCGUAAAGGGCUCGUAGGUGGUUGAUCGCGUCGGAAGUGUAAUCUUGGGGCUUAACCCUGAGCGUGCUUUCGAUACGGGUUGACUUAAGGAAGGUAGGGGAGAAUGGAAUUCCUGGUGGAGCGGUGGAAUGCGCAGAUAUCAGGAGGAACACCAGUGGCGAAGGCGGUUCUCUGGGCCUUUCCUGACGCUGAGGAGCGAAAGCGUGGGGAGCGAACAGGCUUAGAUACCCUGGUAGUCCACGCUGUAAACGGUGGGUACUAGGUGUGGGGUCCAUUCCACGGGUUCCGUGCCGUAGCUAACGCUUUAAGUACCCCGCCUGGGGAGUACGGCCGCAAGGCUAAAACUCAAAGGAAUUGACGGGGCCCCGCACAAGCGGCGGAGCAUGCGGAUUAAUUCGAUGCAACGCGUAGAACCUUACCUGGGUUUGACAUGGAUCGGGAGUGCUCAGAGAUGGGUGUGCCUCUUUUGGGGUCGGUUCACAGGUGGUGCAUGGCUGUCGUCAGCUCGUGUCGUGAGAUGUUGGGUUAAGUCCCGCAACGAGCGCAACCCUUGUUCACUGUUGCCAGCACGUUAUGGUGGGGACUCAGUGGAGACCGCCGGGGUCAACUCGGAGGAAGGUGGGGAUGACGUCAAGUCAUCAUGCCCCUUAUGUCCAGGGCUUCACGCAUGCUACAAUGGCUGGUACAGAGAGUGGCGAGCCUGUGAGGGUGAGCGAAUCUCGGAAAGCCGGUCUCAGUUCGGAUUGGGGUCUGCAACUCGACCUCAUGAAGUCGGAGUCGCUAGUAAUCGCAGAUCAGCAACGCUGCGGUGAAUACGUUCCCGGGGCU
rnacentral:rRNA from 1 species